rnacentral:rRNA from 1 species
UGGGGAAUAUUGGACAAUGGGGGAAACCCUGAUCCAGCGACGCCGCGUGGGUGAAGAAGGCCUGCGGGUUGUAAAGCCCUUUCGGUUGGGAAGAAAAGUUGCGACCUAACACGUCGCGACCUUGACGUAACCAACUAAAGAAGCACCGGCUAACUCUGUGCCAGCAGCCGCGGUAAUACAGAGGGUGCGAGCGUUAAUCGGAAUUACUGGGCGUAAAGCGCGCGUAGGCGGCUUGGCAAGUCGGGUGUGAAAUCCCCGGGCUCAACCUGGGAACUGCUUUCGAGACUGCUUUGCUAGAGUAUGGGAGAGUGAAGUGGAAUUUCCGGUGUAGCGGUGAAAUGCGUAGAUAUCGGAAGGAACAUCAGUGGCGAAAGCGACUUCCUGGACCAAUACUGACGCUCAUGUGCGAAAGCGUGGGG